rnacentral:rRNA from 1 species
CAGCCGCCGCGGUAAUACGUAGGUCCCGAGCGUUGUCCGGAUUUAUUGGGCGUAAAGGGAGCGCAGGCGGUUUAGUAAGUCUGAAGUUAAAGGCUGUGGCUCAACCAUAGUUCGCUUUGGAAACUGUCAAACUUGAGUGCAGAAGGGGAGAGUGGAAUUCCAUGUGCAGCGGUGAAAUGCGUAGAUAUAUGGAGGAACACCGGUGGCGAAAGCGACUCUCUGGUCUGUAACUGACGCUGAGGAGCGAAAGCGUGGGGAGCGAACAGGAUUAGAUACCCCUGUAGUCCCUGUCUCUUAUACA